AGGAAAGGCUCUAAGGACUGCAAUCAUUUUGACAAGGAGGCCGUGGGUGAAUAUGCUAAUGGCUGCCAAGUUUACACAACAUUUUCACACAGAGAAUUACGGCCUGCGGUCUCUGAGCACAAAGGGAGGUCAGGGUUAGCCUACAGCUUGUGGCCUUCAUGUUAGCUCCUGGGGUCCUGUUGGCCUGACUGAGGCAUGGCUACCAUUUGGGUGAUCAGGGAGUGUUUCUCUUCUGACUCUCAAAAUGGCAAGCCAAGGACAGCUCAGGGAAAGGCUGGGGCUGCCACAGCCUAAGAGCAGAAGGGUCCCUGAGUGGGUGGCUGGGUUCUGGAGCAGCCAGGCUUAGAGCAACUCUGCACAUCUCAUCCCAAACUGCCCUCCUCUCUCUCAGCAGGGACUCCAGGAGGAAGACUGGAAAGUGACUGGGAUUACACCUCCUUCCCAGGCUGCGGAGGCUGGUGGUGCCAGUGCACGCAGGUAGAAGCCAACAUCUUCUCCAUGGGAGCAGAUUAAUGGUAAAGGACUGUACUCUUCAACUCAUGCAGAGAAAAAUGAAUGGACUGAGCAGAACAAUAAUAAUAAGUGACAUUUGAAGAGCACUUUCCAGUUGACAAAGCCCUUUCACAUCCAUUGUCUCACUUGACCACUGGAGCAACCCUGUGAUGUAGGUUAUUAUUUCCGGUUUUGAAGAUGAGGCAACCUGAACACAAGGAUGUCACGUGACUUGUCCACGUUUGCAGGGUGGGCAAACCCUGGAGCCCAGGCUUGCACUGGAAUCCCCUGACUCCAGAUCCCAAGUUCCUUCCUUAACAAAAUAUUUGACUCAGUACACUGAGAGAACUUUGCCCCUGGCCUCAGAAAAAGUAGCUCAUGGUAUCUCCCAGUGUAGAGUCUGAUCUGCUUAGGAAAGUAAGUUUGAACCUUCCUGAAGGCAGAGGUAUGGACGAGAUGACCCAGACCUCAUCUAAAGCCAGGCAGCUUUGUGAUUCCCUUCCAGGAUUUUAUGAAAGAAAUAAAAUUAUUCACUUGGAAUGUUUGCUACCAGAAAUGUCAGAGAAGCUGUAAAGGGCCAUUUAUUUGGGACCUUCUAACCAUGUGUUAUGGUAGAAAAUUUGAGAGAAGGAACAGGCCAUUAGGAAAAUUAUUUUAUUCACUUCAACUAUUAUUGUCUUGUUCUGAUAAUAUUCUAUUUGAAAACUUGCAUUCAUAGCACUCUUUCACAUAAAAUCGUGUUCUCUGGGUCCUUCCCACCUCAUCAUGCUUCUUUCUCUCACAUGUAUAGAGAUUGUUUUUCAUUUUGAACCCAGUUGCUUCCUCUUUGAUGCUGUAGAAAAUCACCCUUCUGGGCGUGUGGCAUAAUGACUUCCAUGGCAAUGGGCUGAAGUUACAGACAAGCCAUUACGUGAGCACGACAGGCUGAGCAGAGAGACCAGAGCCAGUUCUUUUAAAACUGCUGUCCUUGAUAAUAGCAGGACAGAGGUAGAAAAUUACUGGCAUUAUAAAUUGCUUUUUCGAUAAAGGUUUUGACUCUGUCUUUUAAAAAGCUGUGCCACACGGGGAAAAUCUCUCUGCAUUUUUAAUUGUAGAUAAUUUUGUGUAAGAAAAACCUCCCCAUGAAAAUGGUCUAAUGAAAUGUGCUUCGUUUGACUUUGGCAAAGCUCCAUGUCAUUCUAAACGAGUGCAUAAAAACAGACACAAACAAUAUUUGCUAUUACCUAAAAGUGUAAGAGAUAAUUUACAUCAAAAGCAAAAGAGGAGAUUGAGAAUUGGAGAGUGGUCCCUAAAGCAGAGCUCCCACUUCUACACGCACGCAUAAAAGAGCAGGAAUAAAGGAAGUGUGGUGUACUGCCACCCAGCGGUGAGUCAGGGAAGACUGAGGACUACCAUGACCCCUCAGUGUCCAGAGCCCAACCUAGGUAGACAAAAACCAGGGCAAAAAGAAACAAGGCCCCAGUCCUGCUAAAGGAGAAGACAUGUUCUAAAGUUUAUGCUUUACUCAAAGAAUGCCAUCUCAGAAUCUUGUUAAUGCUUAUCUUAGGCAUAAUUCUAACAUGCAUAACUUUCAAACCCAUCAGGAGAUCGAAACCAUCCUGGCCAACAUGGUGAAAACCGG
rnacentral:lncRNA from 10 species